rnacentral:lncRNA from 1 species
UUAAACUCCGUUCCAAGUCAAACUAGGCCAUUCUUUUCUUAAACUCCGUUCCAAGUCAAACUAGGCCAUUCUUUUUGAAACAGAGGGAGUACUUCUUUUCAAGACUGUCGUUGGGAGCCCUUUUCAAGCAAGCUUGAUUUCGCUUGAGUUGUGAUUAUCCCCCAUAAUGAGCCCAGACAUGACCCUUACUCCUGUUAACAGAAUGUAUCCUGCUAUGUGAUAUAGUCAUAUCACAUUCUACUUUCACUUCAGGAACUCUUUGAUUCCGUAGCAGCACUUAUUGAGCUAUAGCUGUAAUAUCCUUGCCACUGCUGUUCUCGUGUUGCAGUUGCUUUCUUUUUAUACAUCUUCACCCUCAAAAGUUUUUUCCUGCUUACAAUUCAAUUUUUUCUACUUAUUCUCACUUUAAUUGCAUAGAUGGUAGUACUUUUCUUCUUUGCAUUGUUUCCAUUUUACUAUACAGUAAGUUAUGUGAUUUUCUUCAAUUGUCUGAUAAUGUUGUUUUCUGUCUCGCUUGCUUUGUUUUCUUUCAAUUUGUGUCUCUGCUAAUUAUUUUGGGGGGAAACGUUUACUGCAGUACACACACCGAACAUGCGUUCAACACUGGUGCAAUGAGAAGGGGGAUAUUACUUGUGAGAUUUGCCAUCAGGUAUGUGUCAAUCUCCCAGUUGGUUUCCAACUCUCCAUAUUGUCUUGUGUCUCCAUUCUAUGUGAGAGUACUCCUGCUUGAGCCAUUGAGUUCAAAUCACAAGAUUCUCUUCCCCUCUUGAAUUACCCUUAGGAGUAGUUUGGUAAGUAAGAUGGGUAUAUGUUAUAUACAGUCCAUUGAGAUUAGAUCAUAAUCAUAUGAGAUGAUAUGUGGAGAAUUAUUGGCCCGGAUGUCUGGCUUGCUGAUUUUACACAAGUCACAUAGUACUUUCAUGUGUCACAUUAGUGUGAAAGGACAAGGAUAAAUUACUAGUACUCCUAUUUCAGAAAUGAUGUGGCAGCACUCAAGGAUAUGACCCAGCAGUCAAUGAAACUGCAAUUUAAGACCAUAAUUCAAAUCCUAGCAGAGUCAAAAAAAGCUAAGUGAUUUAUUUCCAUCUGUACUAGUGGGUGUAGUGAGUAUUAUGUGGAUUAGUCAAAUUGUGUGCAAGAUGGCUUGGGCACCACCACUUUAAAAAGUUAGUGUGUGGCACUCACCUUUCCCUUCCCCGUAGUUUGAGAAAUUACACGACCAAUCCUUUUGUUCAAGUUGCAUAGUUAGAUAUCUUUUGUCACCUUCUUUCCGGUGUGGUGAAUACUGAACCUAAAAAUAAUAAUGCAAGUUAAAUAUAUUUAUAAGGAUCUUUUUUCCCUUUUGUGAAGGAAUGAACUGGUAGGGGUCAUCAAUGCCUAACCCCCUUACCACAAAGGUGGUUUUUGAUAUAAAAAAAAGGGAUCUUCUUGCCAUGAGAUCCUUUGCAUCCAUCCCUCUCAUUCAUGAUGAUUAUGCAAGUUGACUAUUUUAGUUUAAAACUGAACUAUCCUUAUUUUAAAAUCAAUAUAUAUUGGCCCUAUAAUUGCUUAAUUUUGUAUCAUCAAGCUUAGUUUGUUUUUUCAAGACAAUGAAGUUUGGAUAUGUAUUUGUCUCUUGGAGCAUUCACCUAUAGUUGUCUCUCUCUCUUGCUUAGCCCUAUUCUGUAGUGCUUUGACAAUCAACAUAUCUCUUAAAUAAAUAGCUCGACGUGAUGAUUUCAGAGAAACUUGAGAGUCUGGACCUGAUACAUUUGAAAUUCUUCCCUUUAAUCUUGAUGCUCAUUAGAUGAUUUCUUUUCUGAUUAGUUUCAUUUUCAAUUGCAAUUUGCAGCAAUACCAGCCUGGUUACACUGUUCCUCCUCGACCUGUGGCUGAGGAGACAAUUAUUGAUAUUGGGUGAGUUUAAGUUGGUUCAUCUUUCAUUUGUUUAUAUACUACUAAUUUGGUUGUAAAUUCUCUUUUUUUCUGUAACCUUUUUUCAAUUCAAACAAGCCAUGAUUAAUGUUUUGACCUCUUUGGUUGUGAUUUUAGCUAGUCGGUGUGGAAUUAGUCAUGAGGUUUGACCAAUUUACAUUCUUUUUAUGAUGGUGGUGCCCGGGCCAGCUUGCGUGCACCUUGACUAAUUCCACUAAGUAUCUGCUACCUCCCAAGGAUAAUUUUGUCCACCAAGGCUUGGGCAGAUGAAUGAAAAAUCACCUAGUGUUUUUUUGUUGUCUCUGCUGAUAUUUGAACUAUAGAGACCUCAUGGUUCUCCCUCACUUCACUGACCACUAGGCCUCAAGGGUGUAAACUACACACUUUUACAGCUUUUAAACUAAUUUUAAGCCUUCAUAUUUUGGUGCAGGGGAGGAUGGCAAAUCUCUGGCACUCCUUUGAAUUUACAUGAUCCUCGCGUCUUGGCAAUUGCAGAGGCUGAACGCCAACUUCUGGAAGCUGAAUAUGAUGAUUACAAUUCUGCAAAUGCAAGUGGUGCAGCAUUCUGUCGAUCUGCUGCUUUAAUUGUAAGCCCUUGGACUUACUUAUUUCCUAAGAUAACAUUGUGAGCCUCUUUACCUAGUAUUUGUGUCAUUGCCUCAUUCACUUUUUGGUUCACUUUCAAGCAGUGGGUAAAUGCUCCUUAAGUUGAAUUUCAGUUAAAAAAAUACACUAAUCCAAUUCAGGGUUUUGUUUAUCUAACUGAUAUUUUAGGCAUGUAAGAACAAAAAAUGUUUUUACAGAUACAAAUGUUUCUUUUUUCCCACUUCGGUUAAAUGUUUUUUUUAUUUCCGAAGUUCGUUUUUUCACAUUUUAAUUGGUUUAGAAAAAGAAAUGAGAAGAGAUACGAAUCAAAAUGCAGAGUACUGUAUUGCUUGCUCAAGCUUUAUAUACCUGAACCCCAUUACUUCAAAAAGAUUGGCCGUCUCAAUCUCUGGUGAUCUGUCUCGACUGGUCUCUCCUUUAUGUCUAGGAUUCGUGACCAUAGCUUGUUUAUUUCCAAUGAUAUGGACCAUCUUGUAUACUUAGUCUAUCCCUCCCCCGUUCUGCCCACAAUCUGAUGACUGUCCAGUCUUAAAUGAUAAUUUUCAUUGACAGUUGAUGGCUCUUCUACUCUUGCGCCAUGCAUUACCAAUGACAGAAACGGAUGGAGACGAUGAAGAUCCAACUGCUUUCUUUUCGGUAAGUUGGCUAGCUGUACACCUAUAUGGUUGCCAUUUUUAUAUUCCUCUUUAAAAAGGUUUCUUCUUAACGGUGGAUCUAACUGAUCCAUCUCUGCAGCUUUUCUUACUUCGGGCAGUUGGCUUUCUUUUACCCUGCUACAUCAUGCUCUGGGCCAUCAGCAUUUUGCAGCAGCGCAGGCAAAGAGAGGUGGGUGUUAGUUUUGCUAGUCCCGCAUCAAUGAAUUGUUUUCGAGAUAGUGUGCUGUGCACGUCUAUAUUUAGCUACAACUGAUGUAAAAAACUCGUAUUCAUUGUUUGGUUGAGCAGGAAGCUGCAGCAUUGGCAGCAACACAAUUUGCAGUUGUGUUACACUCUGGACAGCCGAGAAGUGUACAGUUUACCAUAGCAUCAGCUGCACCAGCAACACCAGCAGCGCCUGCUUCAGUGGAUAACGUUUAAACAAUAAGACGAUCGCGCUUGAUCUCUUAUUUUGAAGCUAAAUCCUGCCUUAUGCUUGAUUUGUUUGUCUGUAUUAUGAACUAUAUCACCAUAUCUCAUCUUUUACUAAAAAAAUUAUGUGUCACUAAGUUGUAUAUUAAUCGUAUCAUUUAACAUCUAUGUAUGACAUUUUUGAUUAACCUUUCUUGUGCCCAUAAAGAAUUGUCUUAUUAUUCUCUUCCUAUCUUCGGGAUUACAUAUAUAUAUAUGUUCAUAAAACUAUGAUAGAACUCAUCUAUUUUAUUGUUAUUAUUAUUUGUAUAGAAUUUCUGACAAGUGUAAGUGACUAAUAACAUUUUAAGGGAUAUCGUUUUAAGGGUGUCCUGUGGAAUUAGUCGAGUUGAGCAAAAGCUGGCUUGGACACCAUAGUCAUGAUUUUUGAAACCACAAAAAUGUAGUUUGUAAUAUUGUACUAAGUUUAUAAUUUGAACUCAAGUCUUCUUAUAAAAAAGGUUAAAAGGGUCAAAUUUACUUGUGUAUUAUUUGAAAUUGAUCAAUUUUGCCUUAUUUUAAGAUUUUCGGUCUAAAUAUUAAGUUGGCACUAAAAAGUUGACAAUUAUUUUCAACUAUACUCCAAGAAAUCAAUCUAUUUUUAUUAAAUAAGAAUAACUUAAUAAUUUAUACUUUGUAUUUAUUGUUUUUCUUAACAGUUGUGAAAAGAGCUAAAACGACAGUUAAAAUGGGACGAAGAAUAUCUUUCUAACAUAGACAACUCCCUAACAAACUCAACUAAUAUCACUAUCAAAUUCAGUAAUCUUGUGGCUUACAUUUCUUUUAAAGGUUUUUGAGGGUUAAAAAGGAGUGGUAAUUUUUAAGGAUUUGAGAAUAUAGAAAAGUUGUCCAUGUUAUAGGAUCUAUUUUUAUACAACCAAAUAUGAUGUUAAAGUAGAGCAAAGCAUCUUCUUUAAACACUUGUAUUUUUUUUUGGUAAACAUUCUCUUUGCAGUGUCCCACUCUUUGUUUGUUCAAAUUUUAAACUUUAACAAAAGAUUAUUAUUGUCUUUGAGCCCACUAAUUAUCUAAAGCUUGUUGUUUUCUAACAUUAAUUUAUGUCUUAAAAAUCAUUUGCCAUUUUUAUGUCCUUGUGUUUGCUUAGCAGAUAAGGACUCUGUUCUGUUUGGUUGGAUUUCUCUUGUACUAUACCACACAAAAGAGACGAAUUCAAAAUUUGAAAUUAAUCAAUGAGGUAAAUUGCAUGGAUAUCUAAUUUUGACAUCGUUAUUUAACUUGUAUUUCUCUUUUAAAAAAAAUACACAUAUAGUCACUUUCGACAACUUCAGAUAUAAGGUAUUUGGAGUUGAUUCUGACAAAGUCUAACUUCAGAGUUCAGACAUACGGUCUAAGUUUCAAAUGGGUGAAGUUCAAGCAAAAAUAACUGAAUAUUAGGCAAAAAUUACUGAACUUUAGUCAUAUAGGGUUGAUGCUCAGACAAAAAUGACUGAUUUUCUCAAGUCUAACUUCGAACACCACAUAUUUGAAAUGGGUAUAAAAAAAAUGAUAAAAUGGAUACAUUAAAAAUAAAAUAAAAAUGGAUACACAUGAGUUUCUUUUGGCUUUUUGUUGGAUGUACUUCGUUAUAAGCUAAAUUUUCUUAUCGAAAAUCUUGAUUUCGCCGUUAGAUCUUAGUUGUCAAUAAGACAAUUUAAUUGAAAAUACUAUAUCUGGAUUGGAAUAUGGAUCCAAUCUUCUUCUUGUCCAAAUUAGUAAAAAGUUCUUAAGGGCAUAGGAUGAAAUCAUGAAAGCCCCUUCAAGAUUCUCAACUUUAAGACGAGUAUAUCUAAUAAGUAUGCCAACCUUGAGUUAGAAAAUGUGCAGUACAAGCAAAUAAAUAGGUCCCUCCCAACACAUAAAUAAACCUACUUUUAUUGCUCUUUAUAUUUAUUUGAUUGGAUACGAAGUUUAUAACAAUACGAAGAAGACUUUUGAAGUUAUGUUGAAUGUUGCAUUAACGGAGCAAAUUAUUUCCAAACGAAAGGUUCUUCAUUACUAACUUUGAUUACGGGAAUGACUUAGUGGUCAAUCGAAUAUGCUGAAAAUGAUAAAGAAGCAAAGAUAAUAAUAUUAAGUGAUUUUUCCCUAUAUGUACUCCAAACCUUACUUGAUAGAGUUAUGCGAUAUUUGAGUGGGUGAAAGAUUACAAACACUCUUUUAUAAAAUAAUCGUGAUGCAUGUAAAUUGAUCCGAACAUCAUAAUUAUGAAAAAAGUUAGAUAUUCCAAUCAUUCUAUCACACUUGGUGAUGUUUUAUACAAAAAAGCUUUAUAUACUAUGACAAGACAAAAGGUAAAAGUGAGCAGAGAGCACCAAUGAAAGUGAAAACAUGCUGUAUUUUGUAUACAUUGGAAACACAAUCCAUUCUCCAUAACACAAGUUCAUAGAGCAUUAAAACAUGUACUUUAGAAUGUUCCAACUUUGAUGAGAUUUACUAAUAUUUUAUACCAUCGAAAACAAAUCUGAAUUAUCACUUUUUUCGUGAGUUUCACACACUAACUAUAUAUCAGAUGUUCUUUUUUCCUAUCUGAACUAUCACUAUCUAUAUAUUAAAACACAUAUUGAAGUUGAUUAGACCAACUAUCAUUUGUCCCCUUUUUCUUUUUGAACUAUCACCAUCUACUCAACUAGGUAUGCUCUAAUAUAUAGAUAAUGAUAGUUUAAGCAGGAAAAGAGAACAACUGAUAAUUAAAAUAGAUAUGAUACUCACAAAUUUUUAUAAUUAUCUUUAUUUUAUACAAAAUAAAAUCAAAGCAAUAUAAAGAAAAAGUUGGUCUUCCUGGUUUAACGAGAAAAAACAAAAACAAUUUCAAAUUUUAAGAGAAAGUGACACUUGAAUUGGUUUAUCUGAAUAGAAGAAAUUAAACUAAAAAUAUAAAGACUAAAAAAGAAAAGCAUAAAGAAACAGAUUUGGCACAAGAAACCAAGACUGGUAUUUUUAGUUUUUGCAUUGGGAAAAGAGCUUGGAAUUCUAAAGUGAUAUUUCUUAAUAACAUAAAGUAUAAUGUUUAGUUGUUUUUAGGAAGUGAUGUUCUAUUCCCCACAUAUCCUUCCUUUUUUUUUAAUCACAUUUUGCUUUAUAUGACUACUUACACUUUUACCAGUCUUAUAGUUUGGCUGCAUACCAAAAAGAUUUUUCUUCCUUAAUAACUAAGUAAGGUUUGAUUAACAAACAAUAGCCAUUUUAAGCAAGUACUUAGUUUCACAUGUUUUUGGACAAUCAUGGUGUAUGAGUCAAUUUAUAUGUAUCUCGAUUAAUUUUAUGGGUACUUGCUACUAUCCGUUAACACAAUGACUAAGUAAUUCGUUCAAGCAAGAAAUAAGUCACCUAGUAUUUUUGUUUCUGGUUGAAUUUGAACUUAAGAUGUCAUGAUUCUUGGUCUAUUUUAGUGAUCACUAAGCUAUACCCUUGGGUGUGUAAUAACGAUGAUGUGGCAAGCUGACUGGAAGUCCAGGUCGCAAACAUUAGUCCUUGAUUCUAAGAUCAAUGUAGAAGUAACAAUAUAAAGAUAAACAACUUAACUUGACAUCAACUAAUAACUAAAGAGUUCAACUUUAAGGAUAGACACCUCAACUCUUCACUGUGUCGGUUGAACACUUCAACUAAACAAAAUAACCAUCUAGACACCUUCAAAAUUUAUAUGACAUGUCAGUUGCAAGUCCAGGUGGCAAACAUUAGUCCUUGAUUAUAACAUCAAUGCAGAAGUAACGACACAUAGAUAGACAACUUAACUUGACAUCAACUAACAAUGAAACAUUUCAACUUUAAGAAUGUAUAUCUAAACACCUCAACUCAUCUCUACUGUGUCCGUUGAACACUCCAACUAAAAAAAUGACCAUCUAGACACCUUGAAAACUUAUGUAACCACGUCAACAUCAGGUACCCACGAGACACAAUGAAAAAGAGUUUCGAUGUCUCAUCUAUGUGUCCUACAAAUAACAAGUGAAAAAGAUGCUUAGCUUCUCUAGGAUGUUGUUCCAAGAAGUACCCUUUAUUCAUCCUAGUUGGAUUCUUUUAUAACAGCCUUAAUUUUCUACUUUAGCUGCAAUAUUCAUGAUUGGGGUGAAUCUAAAAACUCAUCUACAGAUUCUGGGACCCCCAAAAUCCUUUCAAUAAAAAACAACAUCAGUCACUAUAUAUAUACACACACAUACACAAUAAUAGAUCAUAGUAACAGGACUCCAAAUAUUUGAACUUUUCUUCCUGUUCCUCAGAAAAAAAUGGUUUUCAUUAGUAACAAGACAUUUGUAUUUCUUCUUAUAUGUAUAGGUUUCUUAGUAGUUUGUUCACAUUCACAACAACAAAAUGAGCUGAGGAUAUCGACGAGUAGGCGUAUGCUUAAAGGAUUAGUUACAGAGGAGGAGUUGAACACUGGCAUGAAAUCAGCACCAGUAAGUAAGACAUUUGAUCCAAAUGGCUCAAGUAAACGAAAAGUACGAAAAGGAUCAGAUCCAAUCCACAAUAGGUCUUGAAGGUUUACUUAACAGGACAUUCUGUAUAUAAACAAAGAGUUAUGAGAGAAGUUUUCUUUCAAUUGCAUUCAAGACUUACUAGCAUUGGUGUGUGUUAACAUGAACACAAGAGAAGUUUCAAUAGUACAAUACAAGUGAAUGUCUCUUUAUAAUUAAUCUCCUCAAUUUGCUUUAAUAUUUUUUUUCGUUUACCUUUAAAACUUUGAUAUUUUUAUCAGUUUGAAUUCAUUAUUGCUUAAGUUUUGCACAAGAUGUAUGAUAUUUGUUGCUAAAGUUCCUUGUUAAAGAUGUGAUUCUUGUUUUCUCCUAACAAGAAAUUUAGAAUAGGAUUUGUACUUUCACAUGAGAAAAGAACAGUUCAUUACAAUUCAUAGACUUCCUCUGUUUCAAUUUGUUUGUUUUACUUUCCUUUUUUGGCAACUGUGUAGUUUCUACUUUCCACGUGUCAUGUUUAAGACAACAAGAUUAGAGAAUAUUUUGGUAGGUUUUUACAUAUUUUUAGUUCAAGACCACACGAUUCAUAAGUUUUCUUCACUUUCUUAAACUUUGUGUGAAGUCAGAACCAGAUAAACAAAUUGAAACAGAGGAAUCGGAGUAUCAAGUAUUAGAAUGCUCAAGAGAAUGGAUGUUGGUUCAGCAAGCCCUGUUACCAACUAUGGUAACUGGAAGCUGUAUAAAUGUAAGUGCCGCCAACAUGCUCUUAAGUUUUAUGUAGAUUUCAAAAGGUCGUAGCUCUUUCGAGGCAACUUUCUUUCGUAUGAAAAUUUAGGUCUACCUCCUUUUAUACUUUCAAUCAUCCUAAUUCUCACCUCUAGACUUGUUGGUCUAAGCCAGUCCAAAAAUACUCUUAACAUGGUUUGAUAUUAUUCACUCUGAAUCAAGUCCGUACGAUUUAAUUUCUCCAAAAGGCCUCACACCAUUAAGAGUAUCCAACAUCUUGUAAGUAACUUCUUUUUUCACAUCUACUUUUCAUGUGAGAUUUUGUUCACAUAUAUCCAACAAUCUCUCUUGUGAAUUAAGUUCCGUAUGAACCGUUACCACUCAUGGUUUAAAUUGAAGAUUAAUUGUGUGUCACCCACAUCAAUCAAGUAUUUAUGGCAAACAGAGCACACUUACUUCUUUUUGUAUAUGCAUUUUAAAGCUACGAGUAAAGGUAGCAAACCGACCGGUACACUGGCAAAGACACUAAACCAGGUCCUGUACCAUUGUCCCCGUACUCGUCUCGCCAAAUCAUUGAUUCUAACUUGGAAUGCUUGGACAUAUUUGUAAAACAUUUACAUCUUGGGAUUUGUGAUAAAGAAAAGUAAUCUGAUCAAAGAUAAAAAACUCAGCAGGUUGUAUCAUCAAAAGGGUACAUCAAUAAAGAAGUAAGAUCUCUGCUCAGAAAAGCAAUUUAAUUUCUGCAAUCAACAUAGUCAUAGGGAUGGCAAUGGGGCAAGGUGGGGUGGGUUUAAGGCUAUGUGGGGCGGGGCGGGUUUAAAGUUGUGUGGGGUGGGUCGAAUGCGGGGCGGGUUGAAGUGGGUUUUUAAAAAAUUAAUGUGGGGUGGGGCGGGUUGCGGGUAUAUGUGAUUUUAUGUGGGUUCAAACUUAAUUUUAACUUUUUACAUGUUAUAAGAGUGAUAGAACAUUAUUUAUGAAGAUAAUUUCAUUAAAGCUACUAAAAUAUUCAAGAUAAUAAAUGAAAAUGGUUCAAUAAAAAAUAAUAUAAUUUCUUACAUGUUUCUCAAUUGACCUCUAAAAAAUAAAAUUUUAACUCACUAUCCUAUUAAAUUAAUACAACUUAAUGAAAAAAUGAAUUUAUUUUUAUGAAUUUUAUUUUUAGUAUCAAACAUAACUAGAAAAAAAUAUUUAAAAAAUUAUGCGGGGCGGGUUCAUGCGGCACGGAUCUAUGCGGGGUGGGUUGAAAAUGAAAAGAAUAGUUAUGCGGAGUGGGCGAAUUAAAAUUUUUGCAGGUUAAGCUCAACCCACACCGCCCCGCCCUACACCGCCCCAUUGCCAUCCAUCCUUAAACAUAGAUGUAAAGUUUAGUAACAAAUCUGGUUAACUAGAAGAUUUUCCACAAGGAAAAUAUACAGUUAUGACAAGAAAAUUGAUUAGAAUAUUAUGAAAAGAAGUGAUAAACUAUGAUGUUUACUAGUUACUAUAAAUAUCAACAAAACUAAUAUUCAAUUUAGUAUUGGCCAGAGCUAUAAAAAGGUCAACGGUUGUGUGUCAGAUCCUCCAGAAGCAGCACUCUUUUGAAGAAUUCGACACGAGUGUGAAGAGUCCGAGCAAUAUAGUUUUUUACGCGCCCCUAGAACCCUUUUGUGCUAUUAUAUAUUUUGCUAAAUUUCCAUAGAGAUCUGUCAAAACUCCAAGUACAUGUGGAAAAGAUGCAAAAAAUAAACAAAUUGUUUCAUUAGCCCAGUCAAUAAAGGUACAAUAGAGUAGUUGAUCCCCAUCCUUUCCAGUAAAAAAAACAACAAAAAACCGAGUGUAAUCCGACAAAUAGGGUCUGGGGAGGGUAAGAUGUAGUGAUUCACCAAUCUUACCCUUACCUUUAUGGGAUAGAGAGGCUGUUUCCAAUUGACCCUCGACAACCCUCCUCCUUUAUCUGGGCUUGGACCGUCUAUAUGAACAACCUCACACAGGUGGAGGUUUUCCAGUACAAAAAAGCUUCUUGAAAACACUAGUUUCAUCAGAAAUGAUGAACAGAGGAAACUAAAGCUGAGGUAGGAGUAGUAACUAAAAGCUUCUACAAUGGGUGCACCUAUACCUUCACUUGUACUUACUAGAAGUGUGAAAGCAGUGGUACUUUGUGUUCGCGGACUUUAAACAUAAAAGUCUGACAAAAUUUCAGGCAAUUCGAUCAACAUUUCAUUUUAGAAUUUCGUGAUUUUAUAUAACCAGCACACAUACUCUUUGUAUGUUUUGCAAAUACCAGAAUCAACAGAUAUAGGUGGUACGAGGCAACAUUGAAGAAAAAGCAGCAGUUAUAUAACUAUCUAAGCUUCUCAACACAAAAUUUCAGCUCAAUAACAUUACAGAAUUUAGUUAGUUCAUAAAAGAACACAAGGGGAAUGAGUGAAAUCAUACACCUGAAGAGUUAAAAUGUAAUAACUUACAGCAAAAUCAUAAAAGCACCCCUAUAUGAGUGAACAGCAAAUACCCAAACUCUCUCAAUGCUUAGCUGUACAGUGCACACGCUCCAAACCCUGGAGCCACCUGAUGGAUACUGAUCGAUCUGUCUGGUUAACCAAAGUUAAUUGUUGU